rnacentral:lncRNA from 1 species
CUUUGUUAAAUAUACUAGCUUGUACGCUUGACUUCUAGAUGACUAGAUAUGAAUCCUAGAUUAUCGUGAGAUUAUUGAAGAGGCAAUUUUUAGUCAUAUAUGGAGAUUAAUUUAUUGUUUAAAUUUCUAUCUGCAAGUAGUCAUGGUGAGUGGUCAUGAUUUGAUGUAGCACCGGAAUGAAGCAGUAAUUCUGUAGGAGCCAAGAGAUGUUUAUUUCUGGAAACUAAUAGAGACUAUUACAUGCUCACAGAAGAGCAGGUAAGUAUAAGUACAACACCAUUCCCUCUGGAAUAUUUUUAUUUUUAUUUUUUGCUUCUGUAUUACAGAUGAACAAGCCUGUGCAUCAUUUUUUUCAGCCUGCGGAUGGCGGUGGAGCGGGCGGGCAGCAGUUGUUGCCGCAGCAGGCGUGGCCGCAGGUCCUCGUCGGAUGCUGCACGAUCCAGCAGCACUGGCACGCUGAAACGAAACGGAGUGCAUCCAAAAAAUUGAAGAAGCCAUGAAGAUGAUGUGAGCAUGCCAACAGCAGGCAGAAGAACAUGACUGUCUAACUAGCCCAGGUUGAAAAGGAAAAAAAAAAGAGAGAAGAGCUGAACUCAUGACUUACGCAGUGAAGCAGUGGCGGUUGUGAUGAAGAGCGCAAGCAGAAGCAGCAUGAGCCAGGACGCCAGGGCAAGGAGAGUGUUCCUCCUCAUGCCUCCUGUUCUGUCUGCUGUUUCCCCCUCUUGAUAUGCUUCACGGUUGAGGGCUUUCAGGGGAUCUACGUGUUUGCAACACAAGGAGAUGUGGUGGUAGUCACUUAUUUUGAGAUGAAGGGAGUAUAUAUAUAGGCGUCCGUGUAUGGCCUGGCUCGACUCGUGAUAAAGAUCCGGCCCAGCCGCUUUGCUUGACUUGGACUGAUUGAUAUGCCGACUGCCGCAGUGUAUAUGUUGGACUUGACAUCGCAGCGUAUGUGGACCCCGUGUCGACUAGUCAUGCUGUCUAAGCGCAUGUAAAAUGAUGACGUAUGAAUACAGAUGCUUCAUGAUAAAAAAUAGUUUGGGGCAUCUACAUUUUUUUUCCGAAUGCAAGCUAUCACUUAGUGAGACUCAUUAAGAAAUAGAAAAUAAAAUAUUUACU